CGUCCUCAUUCUAUCCCGGCACUACCAAUUUCAAAAUAGCUUCCCCUUCACAAGCACUGCAAUGCAGCAACCAUUGACCUAACUAUGCUUCCUUCUCCAGGUCAUCUCAAGCAGACCCCUUACUCUGAAGCCCCCGGAUCCAAGCAGGAUGAGCUGCCAACUCAGCUUGCUCUGACUUAACUUGGCUCAUGAUCUGUGGAAGAAAUCCCUACCUGACCCGUCGAUCAGCCCGAAACUUCAACAUCUUUUUGGCAGGUCCGUCCCCAGGUUGGCAGCCUCAGAGGACCUGCCGGCCACCCUGCUCCUACCAUGCCUCUGAGAAACACGAGAUGAUACAUUCCAGCUGGUGACUGUCAGAUCUGCUCAGAAGCAAGGAGGAUCCUUGGACUGCGAGGGCCUUCCGAAGGACAUCGCUGCCAUCCCCCUGCUUCUAGGCAAGUCUGUUCUCCAAUCAAUCCUCAUUAAGUUC